rnacentral:tRNA from 1 species
GCCUGAGUGGCUCAGCGGGUUGAGCAUCUGCCUUCGGCUCAGAACAUGAUUCCGGAUUCCUGGGAUUGAGUCCCACAUCAGGCU